rnacentral:rRNA from 1 species
UUAAGUGAAUAAGGGCGCACGGUGGAUGCCUUGGCACUAGGAGCCGAUGAAGGACGGGACUAACACCGAUAUGCUUUGGGGAGCUGUACGUAAGCUAUGAUCCAGAGAUUUCCGAAUGGGGGAACCCAACAUCUUUAAUAGGAUGUUACGAUUGUGUGAAUACAUAGCACAUUCGAGGUAGACGCAGAGAACUGAAACAUCUAAGUACCUGCAGGAAGAGAAAGAAAAUUCGAUUCCCUGAGUAGCGGCGAGCGAAACGGGAAAAGCCCAAACCAGCAAGCUUGCUUGUUGGGGUUGUAGGACUCCAAUAUGGUAGUUCUUUCAGAUAGUCGAAUGACUUGGAAAAGUCAGUCAAAGAGGGUAAAAACCCCGUAGACGAAAUGUGGAAGACACCUAGGAGGAUCCUGAGUACGGCGGAACACGAGAAAUUCCGUCGGAAUCCGGGAGGACCAUCUCCCAAGGCUAAAUACUCCCUAGUGACCGAUAGUGAACCAGUACCGUGAGGGAAAGGUGAAAAGCACCCCGGAAGGGGAGUGAAAUAGAACCUGAAACCGUGUGCCUACAACAAGUCAAAGCCCGUUAAUGGGUGAUGGCGUGCCUUUUGUAGAAUGAACCGGCGAGUUACGAUUGCAUGCGAGGUUAAGUUGAAGAGACGGAGCCGCAGCGAAAGCGAGUCUGAAUAGGGCGUUUGAGUAUGUAGUCGUAGACCCGAAACCAUGUGAUCUACCCAUGUCCAGGUUGAAGGUGCGGUAAAACGCACUGGAGGACCGAACCCACGUACGUUGAAAAGUGCGGGGAUGAGGUGUGGGUAGCGGAGAAAUUCCAAACGAACUUGGAGAUAGCUGGUUCUCUCCGAAAUAGCUUUAGGGCUAGCCUCGGAAUUGAGAAUGAUGGAGGUAGAGCACUGUUUGGACUAGGGGCCCAUCUCGGGUUACCGAAUUCAGAUAAACUCCGAAUGCCAUUCAUUCAUAUCCGGGAGUCAGACUGUGAGUGAUAAGAUCCAUAGUCGAAAGGGAAACAGCCCAGACCACCAGCUAAGGUCCCAAAAUAUAUGUUAAGUGGAAAAGGAUGUGGGGUUGCACAGACAACUAGGAUGUUGGCUUAGAAGCAGCCACCAUUUAAAGAGUGCGUAAUAGCUCACUAGUCGAGUGACCCUGCGCCGAAAAUGUACCGGGGCUAAACAUAUUACCGAAGCUGUGGAGUACACCUUUAGGUGUAUUGGUAGGAGAGCGUUCUAAGGGCGUUGAAGGCAGAUCGUGAGGACUGCUGGAGCGCUUAGAAGUGAGAAUGCCGGUAUGAGUAGCGAAAGACAGGUGAGAAUCCUGUCCACCGAAUGACUAAGGUUUCCUGGGGAAGGCUCGUCCGCCCAGGGUUAGUCGGGACCUAAGCCGAGGCCGACAGGCGUAGGCGAUGGAUAACAGGUUGAUAUUCCUGUACCCGUUGUUUUUGUUUGAGCAAUGGAGGGACGCAGGAGGCUAAGGAAUGCAGACGAUCGGAAAUGUCUGUCCAAGCAGUAAGUCUGAAGAGGAGUCAAAUGCUUCUUUUCUUAAGGACAAGCUGUGAUGGGGAGGGAAAUAAUAGUACCGAAGUUCCUGAUGUCACACUGCCGAGAAAAGCUUCUAGUGAGAAAACAGCGGCCCGUACCGCAAACCGACACAGGUAGUCGAGGAGAGAAUCCUAAGGUGAGCGAGAGAACUCUCGUUAAGGAACUCGGCAAAAUGACCCCGUAACUUCGGGAGAAGGGGUGCUGAUCAUACGAUCAGCCGCAGUGAAUAGGCCCAAGCGACUGUUUAUCAAAAACACAGGUCUCUGCAAAAUCGUAAGAUGAAGUAUAGGGGCUGACGCCUGCCCGGUGCUGGAAGGUUAAGAGGAGUGCUUAGCGCAAGCGAAGGUACGAAUUGAAGCCCCAGUAAACGGCGGCCGUAACUAUAACGGUCCUAAGGUAGCGAAAUUCCUUGUCGGGUAAGUUCCGACCCGCACGAAAGGCGUAACGAUUUGGGCACUGUCUCAACGAGAGACUCGGUGAAAUUUUAGUACCUGUGAAGAUGCAGGUUACCCGCGACAGGACGGAAAGACCCCAUGGAGCUUUACUGUAGUUUGAUAUUGAGUGUCUGUACCGCAUGUACAGGAUAGGUAGGAGCCGUAGAAAUCGGAACGCUAGUUUCGAUGGAGGCGCUGGUGGGAUACUACCCCUGCGUUAUGGCCACUCUAACCCGCACCACUAAUCGUGGUGGGAGACAGUGUCAGAUGGGCAGUUUGACUGGGGCGGUCGCCUCCUAAAAGGUAACGGAGGCGCCCAAAGGUUCCCUCAGAAUGGUUGGAAAUCAUUCGAAGAGUGUAAAGGCAGAAGGGAGCUUGACUGCGAGACCAACAAGUCGAGCAGGGACGAAAGUCGGGCUUAGUGAUCCGGUGGUUCCGCAUGGAAGGGCCAUCGCUCAACGGAUAAAAGCUACCCUGGGGAUAACAGGCUUAUCUCCCCCAAGAGUCCACAUCGACGGGGAGGUUUGGCACCUCGAUGUCGGCUCGUCGCAUCCUGGGGCUGUAGUCGGUCCCAAGGG